GAAACAAGGGCACCUUAACCUAAGUCUUUCAUUUUUCACGCAAAGAACAUCAGCCUUCAAUUCCCUUCUGUACUACUCACGUUUCCUUCUCUCGUCCACACUCAAACUCCGGCCACCAUCACCGCGCACCAUCACCACCGACGUUUGGCCCUUCUUCUUUACCGGCCUCCAACCACCGGCGCGGCGCAGUGCUUCCUCACCGUCGUUCUUCGCUGGCCUCCAACUAUAUAGGGCUGUUCUUCACGGCCUAGCCAGCUGCGUCACUUCACCGGCGACGAGGCACUAGGUCAAUUUAUGAGUUGGGGGAUAUUGAAAUGUGAUUCUGCUUGCAUAUGCUACUGAAUUUCUGUUGGGAUGGUGAUGGGGUGCUUUUUUGGGGAGCAUGCCGAAUUUUACUCUCAAAUGAUUAUCCGUGGGGGUCUACGGUUGUCUAUUGAACCAGACUCAAAUACUGUUUGAACUAAACUGGGAGUAAUGCAACAUUUUUGUAGUGGCUUUUUUCCGAGUUGUGAUGAACUUGUGGAACAUGGAGCUUCUGUUGGAGAAACACCUGCAGCUGUGGUCAGGAAGUGCAAGUAUACGACUGCAAUGUUGUCUGAUCCAUCAGCCGCCAUUUCGGUUGCUUUUGAUAAAGCUCGGGUCCUUGAGGAAAUCUGCAAUGGGAAAGGCUAUAUUGAUAUGUAAACUGUCGAUGCAGAUACAUCCGUAAAGAUCAGUGAGGUUUGAACUUUGAAGUGUACUAGUGAAAACUCGGUCUAGAUAACUUGUGCGCCUGGAAAAUUCAAGUUGAUUACCAGUAUGGUAGUAUGUGAUAAGAUUUUACGAGCAAGAUAGCCAAGAAAUCAAAGCAUGAUGAAAAAGAAGCAAAGAAACUGCAGGACAAUGUACACUCUUUGCAGCUAAGACUUUCUGCCAGAGAGCAUAUAUGCAGAAAUCUCCAAGAGAAGAGUGUUGAUGAAAAUGAAUGUCAAAAAAGCGCACUUCCUCAAUGGAAAUCAAUUAAGUGCGCCCAACAAGAGGGUAGGGUCGAGUGUGGCUAUUACGUGAUGAAAUUCAUGCAUGACAUAUUCAAAAGUUGCAAGGAAGUUCAAGAUCUGGAAAAGUGUCACGUCGUCCUUGCUGCUCAGCCGCCACCACCGCCGGAUUUCCUCACCGCCGCCUGCCGCCGUACUCACCGCCAGCACAACCACCUUGUCGUCGCCUGACCGCGGCCCUGUGCACGCCAAACACCAUCACCGGUGCGCCGCCGUGCCCCACCUCACCGUCGUUCCACCACUGCCGCGCCUGUGCUCCGCCGGCCAGCAUCUCCUUGAUUCUUUAUUUGGUUAAUUUCUUAAACCCUAAGUAAAAUAAUUAUUUUAAUUGUAGUUUGUUAAUUUAAUUUAUGCUUUGAUUUAAUAAAUUUAUGAUUUUUAUGACUUAAUUAGAAUUUCAGAU